CACACGCUCACUUUGGAUCUAAGGUAGGUGUCAGCCUGUCGUACAUACCACAUUAGGUGGUUCCGACUCGUAGGUGACUUGCGAUACUUCGCACAGCCUUCACGUGAUCGUAGCACUUGAGCGUAUUUAUUUACACCCAACCUGUCAUACAGACCACAUUAAGUGGUUCUGACUCAUGUGCAAGAAUUAGUAGAUGAGCUAUAUAGGCAACUCC
rnacentral:lncRNA from 1 species